CAGACGUUGGUUUCGGCACACCACAACCAACUUUCAUCUCAGACACUAUCCAUUACAUAUUAAAUUCCGAGCACAAGUAGAAAGGCCAUUAGGCCUGAAUUUGUGGGAGUCCCCUACUUAAACUCCCAACCCCUACUCACCUCUGACGUUCAAGUUCAAGUGUUCCCUACCCACCAGCACCCUUAGAACAAACAAUUCUCCUUGGU